AGUACGCACUAUUGCGCCACGUCAUAUUCGUGAUAAAGUAGUGUUGCAAAUGAAAUAGAUGAUGUUCUUUUGAAGAAAUCCGAUAAAGAAGAAAUUCUUAGAAAGAUAUUUUGAAAAGCACCUAAUAAAGCAAAGGAAGAAUUGAAUGAACAACUAACACAUUUCCAGCAAAAAAGAACCGCAGGAUUGGCCACAAUCUUUGGCCCGAUCGAUAUUUCGCUGGAUAAAAGCAUAUCUGACAAAACUCGUAUCAUCAACAUUGUCUGGAAUAAAUAGUCAAACUUUUUCUCAGGAUGCCAAUUUGAGCGCUUCAAAUGUGCUCACCAAACACCAAAGAACAAAGUCGAGUCCGGAACAAUUAAGAACUACAGUGAUAUUUCCGUUAGAAGCUAGUAGACGCUUGAUCGCAUUUAAAUUGAUGAACGAUCUAUCACCUCCAAGACAUUUCAGACACAAUGAUAUCGAAAUCAAUGAAUUACCGCAUAUUACACCACCAGGGACACCAUCGCCAUCAUAUCCAGCUCCCAUUUUAGGACAAGAUAUCUUUUUGUCUACGCCAAACGAUGUA